UACGUAGGCAGCAAGCGUUGUUCGGAAUUACUGGGCGUAAAGAGUGUGUAGGCGGUGUUCUAAGUCUGUUGUGAAAUCUCCCGACUUAACUGGGAGGGUGCGGCGGAAACUGGAAUGCUAGAGGAUGGGAGAGGUAAGCGGAAUUCCUGGUGUAGCGGUGAAAUGCGUAGAUAUCAGGAGGAACACCUGUGGUGUAGACAGCUUACUGGACCAUUUCUGACGCUGAGACACGAAAGCGUGGGUAGCAAACAGG
rnacentral:rRNA from 1 species